CCCUGCUCCGCUCCGCACAGUUCCGCGGAACUUCCAAGGAUCCACCUAUUCGUUUGUUUUGCUGAAGAAAACACGGGGGUCCGUACCCGCAGGCAGAGACCGUCAUUCCGGGAUGAGGGAGGCACGGCUGAAUUGUAAAAAAAAUUGGAAAAGUCGGGGCAAUAGCUUUGAAAAAAAUAUUAAAACAAAACUCCUUUCAAAUCUCUCCCUGGUACCCUCGUCCUUGUACAAACUGCUCUUGUAGCAGAAAUACCAGCGCGGAACUCGCUCAUUUCUCUAUCCCUCUUAUCCCAGCCCGUGGGAAGAGAAGACAACUCCUGGGAAAUAGAUCUGCAUCCCGCACGGACGCACAGGGAGCUCCUUUUGCGGCCAGAUGUGAAUAUUCCUGCCGGGGCUGCGGGACACAGGAGCCCGUCCCUGCCCCGCGCUCUGCCGCACCUGCGGGGGGAUGCGCGGCCGCGGAGGAUGGGUGUCCGAGGGGUACAAGGAUGCGGGAAUGAGAGGGAAUGUCGUGUCGGUGUCCGUGGAGUGAAAGGAUGCAGGAGUGGGAGGGAACCGCGGGUCGGUGUCCGUGGGGUGAAAGGAUGCAGGAGUGGGAGGGAAUGGCGUGCCGGAGCCCCGGGAGCGGUGCGCGGUUCCCCGCGCUGCCUGCGCGGCUCUGUCCUGCCUGCGCUCCCUGCGCGCCGCUCGCCGCCCCUCGCUCUCCCCCCCGCUCCGCCAAAGCCAAUUUGUUGCAUUUCCUCCAUUGAUUGUUUAGUCAGAGGUUUUGCCAACUUCCUG
rnacentral:lncRNA from 12 species